rnacentral:rRNA from 1 species
UGGGGAAUAUUGGACAAUGGGGCAACCCUGAUCCAGCAAUGCCGCGUGUGUGAAGAAGGCCUUCGGGUUGUAAAGCACUUUCGGUGGGGACAAACAAGGCGGAGCUAACAUCUCCGUCCCUGAUGGUACCCAAAGAAGAAGCACCGGCUAACUCUGUGCCAGCAGCCGCGGUAAUACAGAGGGUGCAAGCGUUAAUCGGAAUUACUGGGCGUAAAGCGUGCGUAGGUGGUUUGUUAAGUCAGGUGUGAAAUCCCGGGGCUCAACCUCGAAAUGGCGCUUGAUACUGGCAGACUCGAGUGUGGUAGAGGAUAGUGGAAUUCCCGGUGUAGCGGUGAAAUGCGUAGAUAUCGGGAGGAACAUCAGUGGCGAAGGCGGCUAUCUGGACCAACACUGACACUGAGGUACGAAAGCGUGGGUAGCAAACAGGAUUAGAUACCCUGGUAGUCCACGCCCUAAACGAUGGGUACUAGACGUCGGGAAGCUUGUCUUCUUGGUGUCGCAGCUAACGCAAUAAGUACCCCGCCUGGGGAGUACGGUCGCAAGAUUA